rnacentral:rRNA from 1 species
UACGGGGGGGGGCAAGCGUUGUUCGGAAUUACUGGGCGUAAAGGGCUCGUAGGUGGCCAACUAAGUCAGACGUGAAAUCCCUCGGCUUAACCGGGGAACUGCGUCUGAUACUGGAUGGCUUGAGGUUGGGAGAGGGAUGCGGAAUUCCAGGUGUAGCGGUGAAAUGCGUAGAUAUCUGGAGGAACACCGGUGGCGAAGGCGGCAUCCUGGACCAACACUGACACUGAGGAGCGAAAGCCAGGGGAGCAAACAGG